rnacentral:rRNA from 1 species
AAGACCUUGCGCUUUUGGAGCGGCCGAUGUCUGAUUAGCCUGUUGGUGAGGUAAAGGCUUACCAAGGCUUCGAUCAGUAGCUGGUCUGAGAGGACGGCCAGCCACACUGGGACUGAGACACGGCCCAGACUCCUACGGGAGGCAGCAGUGGGGAAUUUUGGACAAUGGGGGCAACCCUGAUCCAGCCAUGCCGCGUGAGUGAAGAAGGCCUUCGGGUUGUAAAGCUCUUUCAGCCGGAACGAAACGGUUACGGUUAAUACCCGUGACUACUGACGGUACCGGAAGAAGAAGCACCGGCUAACUACGUGCCAGCAGCCGCGGUAAUACGUAGGGUGCAAGCGUUAAUCGGAAUUACUGGGCGUAAAGCGUGCGCAGGUGGUUUUGUAAGUCAGAUGUGAAAUCCCCGGGCUUAACCUGGGAACU